CCCGGGGAAACUCGGGCUAAUACCGCAUACGACCGAGAGGUGAAAGAGGGCCGCAAGGCUCUUACUGAAGGAGGGGUCCGCGUCCGAUUAGCUAGUUGGUAGGGUAAUGGCCUACCAAGGCGACGAUCGGUAGCCGGCCUGAGAGGGUGAUCGGCCACACUGGAACUGAGACACGGUCCAGACUCCUACGGGAGGCAGCAGUGGGGAAUUUUGCGCAAUGGGCGAAAGCCUGACGCAGCAACGCCGCGUGGAGGAUGAAGGUCUUUGGAUUGUAAACUCCUGUCAGCAGGGAAAAAGCGACUGGACCUAAUACGUCUGGGAGUUGAUUGUACCUGCAGAGGAAGCCCCGGCUAACUCUGUGCCAGCAGCCGCGGUAAUACAGAGGGGGCAAGCGUUAUUCGGAAUUAUUGGGCGUAAAGGGCGCGUAGGCGGCUUUGCAAGUGACGGGUGAAAGCCCUCGGCUUAACCGAGGAACUGCCUGUCAGACUGUGAGGCUUGAGACCGGGAGAGGUGAGUGGAAUUCCCAGUGUAGCGGUGAAAUGCGUAGAUAUUGGGAGGAACACCAGUGGC
rnacentral:rRNA from 1 species